rnacentral:lncRNA from 1 species
UGCGCGUGAGUGAUUGCCAACUGUUUUUAAAUGUGAAUCUCAUUGGUUAAAUAGAGUCUCAUACUAACUAAUAGUUGGGAUGUGGAUGACUCUCUCUUAAUUUGCAAAUCUCUUCUGUCAUUUGUAAAACAAAAUAAGAUAAGCAUCAUCGUUGACAAUGCAAAGAUCCAACUAGUGACAGAAUUCGCCUCAAUUUCGACGAAAGAUUUGAUAGCAAACCUGGUUCGUAGGAUUGAUGUGCCCAAUAUGCUAAGCCCAAAAAAUAGCAAAAGUGUAGAUCCCGUAGUCCUCUCAGCUAAGCCCAUUAGCCCAAAGUAAGACUUCUUCCCGCUAAUUGCUAAGGACCAAUGGGUUUGGUUUUAUGUUGAAUUCGCACCGGUUUUUUUUUUUUUUUUGGGGGGGUGGAAUCUAUCAUGAUCAUUGUUGAUUAGAUCACACAAUCUAUAACCUAGUAAGGAAAAAACAAACCUGUUAAGAUGCAAGGGUUAAAAAUGCGUCCGAAAAUCAUACGGAGUUUUUACCAUAUAUUUUUUCUUAUUUUACUUAACGUAUUAAACGAUCGUGAUUAGAUAUACGUAAAAAGAACUACUAUUCAUCUUGCAAAUUUACAGUAAUUUUAUGGACAAUUCGUAUCAUCUUCAUCCGAAAAGAGGGUAUGUGCAUAUUUAAUCUGAACCUACGUUAUUAGAUAAAAUUCGGAAUAACCACAUGUUACUACAUUUUUUUUUUUGAAGUUAGUAAAGAGGAGAAUAAGAAAAGAGGAGAAGUUUUUGUGUAUGAUAGAGAAAGUGAAUCUGGGCACGUGUGUUUGUAACACUCUUGUUUUUAUUUUUUAUUUUUAGGUGAAGAUGAAAUGUUCACAAGCAAGUUUUAAAUGCUCUUUUAAGGUGGAACAAAAGAAUAUUAUGCAUAUGCAGCAUAGGUAUAGUCUAUAGAAUACAUUAAUUAUUGGCUAAAAACAAUAUGUAGUGAGAUUCGAUGCUGGCUUAAUUAAAUGGAAAUGAUUAACAACAAAUACAUCAGCUGGUCGGGGCAAGGCAUUCAAUUGGGUUUUUUUCUUUUGUGCAUGCCACGCAGAAGAGAAAUGACAAACAGUGUGUUUUUGCUUGUUGAUGAUAGAUUUGAUAAUGUCUGAACCUAACAAAACUUGAAAGCCUCCUUCAAUGGCAUGAUAAAAGUCCUCUGAAAAAACAGAGUCCAAAUACAAAUUGGAACGCACCUACUCAUACAGGUGGUCAAUGGUCAUGCAUAACCCUAAUGCAAUAAUUGAUUACUUUAUUAGAGUUUAGGCUAACAAUCAAUACUAGGUGCCAUCAAGAUGAGAGAUGGUAGGUGAGGAAAAAGUCCCCCCAACUGUCCUCUUUUCCUGUAUGAGGGUGGGUUUCU